UACAAAGUCAUCAAAUUCAAGGUGGACAGGC
rnacentral:piRNA from 1 species